rnacentral:rRNA from 1 species
GACGAACGCUGGCGGCGUGCUUAACACAUGCAAGUCGAGCGAUGAAGCUCCUUCGGGAGCGGAUUAGCGGCGGACGGGUGAGUAACACGUGGGCAACCUGCCUUAUAGAGAGGAAUAGCCAUCCGAAAGGAUGAUUAAUACCGCAUAACUCGGACACCUGACAUCAGGAGUCCGGCAAAGGAGCAAUCCGGGAUAAGAUGGGCCCGCGUCCGAUUAGCUAGUUGGUGAGGUAACGGCCCACCAAGGCGACGAGCGGUAGCCGAACUGAGAGGUUGAUCGGCCACAUUGGGACUGAGACACGGCCCAGACUCCUACGGGAGGCAGCAGUGGGGAAUAUUGCACAAUGGACGAAAGUCUGAUGCAGCAACGCCGCGUGAAGGAUGAAGGUUUUCGGAUUGUAAACUUCUUUGAAUAGGGACGAUAACAGACGGUACCUAAAAAACAAGCCACGGCUAACUACGUGCCAGCAGCCGCAGUAAAAC